UACGUAGGGUGCGAGCGUUAAUCGGAAUUACUGGGCGUAAAGUGUGCGCAGGCGGCCGAGCAAGUCGAGUGUGAAAGCCCCGAGCUUAACUUGGGAAUUGCGCUCGAAACUACUUGGCUGGAGUGUGGCAGAGGAAGGUGGAAUUCCAGGUGUAGCGGUGAAAUGCGUAGAGAUCUGGAGGAACACCAGUGGCGAAGGCGGCUUCCUGGCCUGUAACUGACGCUGAGACGCGAAAGCGUGGGGAGCGAACCGG
rnacentral:rRNA from 1 species